GACAGAGGGUGCAAACGUUGUUCGGAUUUACUGGGCGUAAAGCGCGUGUAGGCGGCUUUGCAAGUCGGAUGUGAAAUCCCACGGCUCAACCGUGGAAGUGCAUCCGAAACUGCAUCGCUCGAGUCUCGGAGAGGAAGGUGGAAUGCUUGGUGUAGAGGUGAAAUUCGUAGAUAUCGGGAGGAACACCAGUGGCGAAGGCGGCGAUCUGGGCAGAUACUGACGCUGAGGUGCGAAAGCGUGGGGAGCAAACAGG
rnacentral:rRNA from 1 species